rnacentral:tRNA from 1 species
UCUCAGAUAGUAUAGUGGUCAGUAUUUCGGCUUGUCACCAUCAGACAGCUCGCCGGAGGCCGGGGUUCGAUUCCCCGUCUGAGAG